rnacentral:rRNA from 1 species
GAUGAACGCUGACAGAAUGCUUAACACAUGCAAGUCAUUGGCGAAGCUGCGCUUGCGCAGUCUAGCCAAGGCGGACGGGUGAGUAACGCGUAAGGAACUUGCCUUGCAGACAGGGAUAACAGACGGAAACGACUGAUAACACCUGGUAUUGUCAGGCUGGCGCAUGCCGGCCUGAUGAAAGGAGACGCUGCAGGAGAGCCUUGCGUCCUAUUAGCUAGUUGGUGGGGUAACGGCCCACCAAGGCGAUGAUAGGUAGCCGGCCUGAGAGGGUGAACGGCCACAAGGGGACUGAGAUACGGCCCUUACUCCUACGGGAGGCAGCAGUGGGGAAUAUUGGACAAUGGGGGCAACCCUGAUCCAGCAAUUCUGUGUGCACGAAGAAGGUUUUCGGAUUGUAAAGUGCUUUCAGCAGGGAAGAAGAAAGUGACGGUACCUGCAGAAGAAGCGACGGCUAAAUACGUG